CAGUCGCCACGGUAAUCCGUAGGGUGCAAGCGUUAAUCGGAAUUACUGGGCGUAAAGCGCACGUAGGCGGAUCGAUCAGUCAGGGGUGAAAUCCCAGAGCUCAACUCUGGAACUGCCUUUGAUACUGUCGAUCUGGAGUAUGGAAGAGGUGAGUGGAAUUCCGAGUGUAGAGGUGAAAUUCGUAGAUAUUCGGAGGAACACCAGUGGCGAAGGCGGCUCACUGGUCCAUUACUGACGCUGAGGUGCGAAAGCGUGGGGAGCAAACCGGAUUAGAUACCCGAGUAGUCCCUGUCUCUUAUAA
rnacentral:rRNA from 1 species